rnacentral:misc_RNA from 1 species
UCUCCGUUGGUGAACCAGCGGAGGGAUCAUUAUAGAGUUUUCUAAACUCCCAACCCUUUGUGAACUUACCUUUGUUGCCUCGGCGGGGCCUACCCGGUACCGACCCCUUUUGGGCGAAGUUACCCUGUAGCCCGCCGGUGGCCCAACUAAACUCUUGUAUUAUUUGUUAUCUGAGAGUUAUUUUUAAAAUAAGUCAAAACUUUCAACAACGGAUCUCUUGGUUCUGGCAUCGAUGAAGAACGCAGC